UGGGGAAUUUUGGACAAUGGGCGCAAGCCUGAUUCAGCAAUGCCGCGUGCAGGAUGAGGCCUUCGGGUUGUAAACUGCUUUUGUACGGAGCGAAAAGGUCUGCCCUAAUACGGUGGGCUCAUGACGGUACCGUAAGAAUAAGCACCGGCUAACUACGUGCCAGCAGCCGCGGUAAUACGUAGGGUGCGAGCGUUAAUCGGAAUUACUGGGCGUAAAGCGUGCGCAGGCGGUUAUAUAAGACAGAUGUGAAAUCCCCGGGCUCAACCUGGGACCUGCAUUUGUGACUGCAUAGCUAGAGUACGGUAGAGGGGGAUGGAAUUCCGCGUGUAGCAGUGAAAUGCGUAGAUAUGCGGAGGAACACCGAUGGCGAAGGCAAUCCCCUGGACCUGUACUGACGCUCAUGCACGAAAGCGUGGGGAGCAAACA
rnacentral:rRNA from 1 species